GGAAUUAUGAUGAUUGGUAUAGAUUUGAGAAAGAUGAUUGUUCUUAGGGUACUUAUUAUUAAAAUAUUUAUAUAUUCCGCUAUAAAAAAUAGUGCGAAUAUUCCUGCAGCAUAUUCAACAUUAAAACCUGAGACUAGUUCUGAUUCACCUUCAGUUAAGUCAAAUGGAGCUUGGUUUUUUUGUGCUAGUGUGGAUACAAAUUAUAGA